UACGAAGGGGGCUAGCGUUGCUCGGAAUCACUGGGCGUAAAGCGCACGUAGGCGGCUUUUAAGUCAGGGGUGAAAUCCUGGAGCUCAACUCCAGAACUGCCUUUGAUACUGAGAAGCUUGAGUCCGGGAGAGGUGAGUGGAACUGCGAGUGUAGAGGUGAAAUUCGUAGAUAUUCGCAAGAACACCAGUGGCGAAGGCGGCUCACUGGCCCGAUACUGACGCUGAGGCACGAAAGCGUGGGGAGCAAACAGGG
rnacentral:rRNA from 1 species